AGGCGUCUGAAUGGCAGAAAAUACGAAUAAUAUGGAGUUACCUGGUGCUUCUGAAGACACUGCAAAACAGGAUGAGGCCGAGGCUGUCAAGACAGAGGAGAAGAUGGAGCGCCUGAUGCUGGAUGAAUUGGAGAAGUUUGCCCUGGAAGGGGAGGCGAAGGAGAAUGGAGAGGGGUUAACCCUGCAGGAUGCAGAGAAGGGAAAGAUCCAGGAAGAAAAGGACCGCCCUGCAAUUCAGGAUGAGGAAGCCCCAGAACGCAGAGAAGAGACGAAGCGGGAGGGACCGCCAAAGGAAGAAUGGGACACUCUGACUCUGCAGGAUGAUGGCCUGCCACUCCGGGAGGAGAAAGAGGAGAAAGAGAAAGAGGGAAGGGGCCUUCUUGCCUGGCAGGCCAAAGAGGAGACCCCGGCAGACGAGGAGAAGACCGAGGCAGAAGAGGAGCCCCGACUCUCAAUGGAUGACAUCCUGAACAUCAUGAAAGAGGAGGAAGAGGAAGAGGAAGAUCAGGAGGAAGAGGAGGCAGCUCCCCAGCAGGACUUGAGGGUACCUCAGACCACUGGUGUAACCAUGUGGUCUCAAUACAGGGAGAGAAUCAAAUUCGCUGUACAGAAACGGAAGCUGUCCUUCCCUCAUCUGGGCUACUUCACCAAGGUCUUCAGCCAAGACUCUUCUGCUUCGGAGAUGAGGAAAAAGUCGAAGGAGGAACCGGUGGUCGAGCAGCCACGGAAAUGGGAUCGUGAACCGAUGUUAUCCAGAUUGUUCACCAUGAUACCAAGUGAUAGUCACCCCAAGAAAUUUGCACUACGUUGGCCAACAGGGAUAACGCAGAGAGAGUGUAACCUUUCAAGGUUAUCUAAGGUCACAGGGAGCUCUCUCGAAGAAGACCACGACAUGAAAGCUUCAGAAUCGCAAGCUGCCGAAAUUGAGAUGGACGACUUAUGUUCCAGGAGCCCUGAGAUCUUACUGUCUAAAUUUGAGGAGCCAGAGGCAGAAACGUUUGCUGAGACAAAAAUGGAGGAGGCGGAAGCCGCUUCCUCGCAUCCAAAGAAAUUACAGGCUGGCUCUUUCUACUCUUAUCAGGAUGGUGGCACGAUUGAGCCAGGUGUUACCAGCUCUGUCUGGAGCAUGGGGCAGCGAAUCAGCCACUGGCGGAUGGCUCACAACCGGGUGAGCCAGGCAGAGCAAAAUCUCCAGGAAAAAGUAUAUAAGCAGAGGCUUCUAAAACACGAGCGGGAGACCAAAACAACAGUACCACUGCCUCUCCAGGAAAAGAUUGAGGAAGAGGUGCUGGCCAUUUUGAUGGACACCUAUAAGGAUUACCAGAAAAAACUGGGAAUGCAUCAUCCCCUCACCACACAAAUGGAGGAGCAGGUGGACAAGAUUUAUCUUCAGCUCCAUGCAAGAGGGGUGGUUUAAAGGAAGGUGUUGCGCCUCAGAGACUGUCCAACCUAGUGCGGAAACUGCUGCAGCUUUGCAAAAUAAAUAAAUAAAUAAAUAGAUCUUCUAAUGAAAU
rnacentral:lncRNA from 1 species